UUAAGCGACUAAGCGUACACGGUGGAUGCCCUGGCAGUCAGAGGCGAUGAAGGACGUGCUAAUCUGCGAUAAGCGUCGGUAAGGUGAUAUGAACCGUUAUAACCGGCGAUUUCCGAAUGGGGAAACCCAGUGUGAUUCGUCACACUAUCAUUAACUGAAUCCAUAGGUUAAUGAGGCGAACCGGGGGAACUGAAACAUCUAAGUACCCCGAGGAAAAGAAAUCAACCGAGAUUCCCCCAGUAGCGGCGAGCGAACGGGGAGGAGCCCAGAGCCUGAAUCAGUGUGUGUGUUAGUGGAAGCGUCUGGAAAGGCGCGCGAUACAGGGUGACAGCCCCGUACACAAAAAUGCACAUACUGUGAGCUCGAUGAGUAGGGCGGGACACGUGGUAUCCUGUCUGAAUAUGGGGGGACCAUCCUCCAAGGCUAAAUACUCCUGACUGACCGAUAGUGAACCAGUACCGUGAGGGAAAGGCGAAAAGAACCCCGGCGAGGGGAGUGAAAAAGAACCUGAAACCGUGUACGUACAAGCAGUGGGAGCACGCUUCGGCGUGUGACUGCGUACCUUUUGUAUAAUGGGUCAGCGACUUAUAUUCUGUAGCAAGGUUAACCGAAUAGGGGAGCCGAAGGGAAACCGAGUCUUAACUGGGCGUUAAGUUGCAGGGUAUAGACCCGAAACCCGGUGAUCUAGCCAUGGGCAGGUUGAAGGUUGGGUAACACUAACUGGAGGACCGAACCGACUAAUGUUGAAAAAUUAGCGGAUGACUUGUGGCUGGGGGUGAAAGGCCAAUCAAACCGGGAGAUAGCUGGUUCUCCCCGAAAGCUAUUUAGGUAGCGCCUCGUGAAUUCAUCUCCGGGGGUAGAGCACUGUUUCGGCAAGGGGGUCAUCCCGACUUACCAACCCGAUGCAAACUGCGAAUACCGGAGAAUGUUAUCACGGGAGACACACGGCGGGUGCUAACGUCCGUCGUGAAGAGGGAAACAACCCAGACCGCCAGCUAAGGUCCCAAAGUCAUGGUUAAGUGGGAAACGAUGUGGGAAGGCCCAGACAGCCAGGAUGUUGGCUUAGAAGCAGCCAUCAUUUAAAGAAAGCGUAAUAGCUCACUGGUCGAGUCGGCCUGCGCGGAAGAUGUAACGGGGCUAAACCAUGCACCGAAGCUGCGGCAGCGACACUAUGUGUUGUUGGGUAGGGGAGCGUUCUGUAAGCCUGUGAAGGUGUGCUGUGAGGCAUGCUGGAGGUAUCAGAAGUGCGAAUGCUGACAUAAGUAACGAUAAAGCGGGUGAAAAGCCCGCUCGCCGGAAGACCAAGGGUUCCUGUCCAACGUUAAUCGGGGCAGGGUGAGUCGACCCCUAAGGCGAGGCCGAAAGGCGUAGUCGAUGGGAAACAGGUUAAUAUUCCUGUACUUGGUGUUACUGCGAAGGGGGGACGGAGAAGGCUAUGUUGGCCGGGCGACGGUUGUCCCGGUUUAAGCGUGUAGGCUGGUUUUCCAGGCAAAUCCGGAAAACUAAGGCUGAGGCGUGAUGACGAGGCACUACGGUGCUGAAGCAACAAAUGCCCUGCUUCCAGGAAAAGCCUCUAAGCAUCAGGUAACAUCAAAUCGUACCCCAAACCGACACAGGUGGUCAGGUAGAGAAUACCAAGGCGCUUGAGAGAACUCGGGUGAAGGAACUAGGCAAAAUGGUGCCGUAACUUCGGGAGAAGGCACGCUGAUAUGUAGGUGAAGUCCCUCGCGGAUGGAGCUGAAAUCAGUCGAAGAUACCAGCUGGCUGCAACUGUUUAUUAAAAACACAGCACUGUGCAAACACGAAAGUGGACGUAUACGGUGUGACGCCUGCCCGGUGCCGGAAGGUUAAUUGAUGGGGUUAGCGGUAACGCGAAGCUCUUGAUCGAAGCCCCGGUAAACGGCGGCCGUAACUAUAACGGUCCUAAGGUAGCGAAAUUCCUUGUCGGGUAAGUUCCGACCUGCACGAAUGGCGUAAUGAUGGCCAGGCUGUCUCCACCCGAGACUCAGUGAAAUUGAACUCGCUGUGAAGAUGCAGUGUACCCGCGGCAAGACGGAAAGACCCCGUGAACCUUUACUAUAGCUUGACACUGAACAUUGAGCCUUGAUGUGUAGGAUAGGUGGGAGGCUUUGAAGUGUGGACGCCAGUCUGCAUGGAGCCGACCUUGAAAUACCACCCUUUAAUGUUUGAUGUUCUAACGUUGACCCGUGAUCCGGGUUGCGGACAGUGUCUGGUGGGUAGUUUGACUGGGGCGGUCUCCUCCUAAAGAGUAACGGAGGAGCACGAAGGUUGGCUAAUCCUGGUCGGACAUCAGGAGGUUAGUGCAAUGGCAUAAGCCAGCUUGACUGCGAGCGUGACGGCGCGAGCAGGUGCGAAAGCAGGUCAUAGUGAUCCGGUGGUUCUGAAUGGAAGGGCCAUCGCUCAACGGAUAAAAGGUACUCCGGGGAUAACAGGCUGAUACCGCCCAAGAGUUCAUAUCGACGGCGGUGUUUGGCACCUCGAUGUCGGCUCAUCACAUCCUGGGGCUGAAGUAGGUCCCAAGGGUAUGGCUGUUCGCCAUUUAAAGUGGUACGCGAGCUGGGUUUAGAACGUCGUGAGACAGUUCGGUCCCUAUCUGCCGUGGGCGCUGGAGAACUGAGGGGGGCUGCUCCUAGUACGAGAGGACCGGAGUGGACGCAUCACUGGUGUUCGGGUUGUCAUGCCAAUGGCACUGUCCGGUAGCUAAAUGCGGAAGAGAUAAGUGCUGAAAGCAUCUAAGCACGAAACUUGCCCCGAGAUGAGUUCUCCCUGACUCCCUGAGAGUCCUGAAGGAACGUUGAAGACGACGACGUUGAUAGGCCGGGUGUGUAAGCGCAGCGAUGCGUUGAGCUAACCGGUACUAAUGAACCGUGAGGCUUAACCUU
rnacentral:rRNA from 1 species